rnacentral:rRNA from 1 species
UACGAAGGGGGCUAGCGUUGCUCGGAAUCACUGGGCGUAAAGCGCACGUAGGCGGCUUUUUAAGUCAGGGGUGAAAUCCUGGAGCUCAACUCCAGAACUGCCUUUGAUACUGGGAAGCUUGAGUCCGGAAGAGGUGAGUGGAACUCCGAGUGUAGAGGUGAAAUUCGUAGAUAUUCGGAAGAACACCAGUGGCGAAGGCGGCUAACUGGUCCAGCACUGACGCUGAGGUGCGAAAGCGUGGGGAGCAAACAGG